rnacentral:rRNA from 1 species
GACGAACGCUGGCGGCGUGCCUAAUACAUGCAAGUUGAGCGAUGAAGAUUGGUGCUUGCACCAAUUUGAAGAGCAGCGAACGGGUGAGUAACGCGUGGGGAAUCUGCCUUUGAGCGGGGGACAACAUUUGGAAACGAAUGCUAAUACCGCAUAACAACUUUAAACAUAAGUUUUAAGUUUGAAAGAUGCAAUUGCAUCACUCAAAGAUGAUCCCGCGUUGUAUUAGCUAGUUGGUGAGGUAAAGGCUCACCAAGGCGAUGAUACAUAGCCGACCUGAGAGGGUGAUCGGCCACAUUGGGACUGGGAAACGGCCCAAACUCCUACGGGAGGCAGCAGUAGGGGAUCUUUGGCAAUGGACGAAAGUCUGACCGAGGAACGCCGCGUGAGGGGAGAAGGGUUUCGGAUCGGAAAACUCUGUUGGUAGGGAAGAACGUUGGUGAGAGUGGAAAGCUCAUCAAGUGACGGUAACUACUCAGAAAGGGACGGCUAACUACGUG